rnacentral:lncRNA from 1 species
CUCGCGAACGCCAGUGAGUGGCGCUCGGUGCGCAGUAACACGCAGGUUGUGCUUUAAAACACCGCAACCUGCCUACAUAGACAGCACUAUAGUCAUAACAGGAACAACGCACUCUAGAUGCGCCUGACAUUCACACCAAGCACACCGCAGAGCUGGAAAAAAAACACGUUCUGCGAAACCGAAUGAUGCAUUGAAUGCCUUCAGCGUUGUCUAGCGAGCUGACUUGUUGUGAUUUGGGACGCGGCCACAGCAUUGAUUCAUUCGCGUGAAGCGUCGUUUUUUUUUCGCGCGGCUUGGAGAGGAAACAUUUAAUUAUGGCUUUUCCUUGCGAAAUCUGAAGGUUUGCAGGUUGAAGACAACUCCUGAUGCCAUCUACCCACAAUCAGUAUCUUAACCAACAGUGUAAAAGAUGCCACUACUUACUUUAAGCCUGAAAGCGGAAAGUGCUCCAGACCUCAAGGGAGGAUCUACAAGACUCUACAUGAAAGCUUGAGAACACAUGAACCUUCAGGAAACAUGAGUGUGAACGAUGAACACGCCAUAUCCUUCGGGACCCCCAAUGAAGAUAACUGCGACGAAAUCAGGAACAACAACAGACAUGCUGAGGAUUCCCUGGAUGGAGAUGCCAAUGCUAAUGAAAUCCAGAGGGUGGAUGGAGGAACAACUUUGGAAACAACCGACACUGUGUCCUCUGGGGUAUCGCACACUGAAGAACAGGUGAAGAUGAUUAUUCAGGGCACAGAUUCCCCUUGUGAUGAUCCAGACUUAGCAGAGUUUGAGAUGUUGGAAAUUCAGGAAUUAGAAGAUGAUGGAGAGAACAAUAUUCCUAAAGGUGUCAUGAAGGGAGCUCUAUCCAACAACAUGAAGAAGAGUGAUGCAGAGUCUGAUAGCAAAGUCUUUCCCCAGUUUUCUUCAAGUGAGCAAGAGUUUACUGUUUGUCCUCAGUCCACGAGCAAAGAAACAGUGAACAGCAUAGCCAAAAUGGAGUUUAGUUCUGAAAACGAUGUCUUCGUCACUUGUCUCUCUACAAUGUCUAGUCUUGGAGGAAGUCUUGCCAGUGCCCUGGACCAUGCUGGUCGGACCCAAAGCACUGAUUCUUGGCAUGCUCCCUUAGGGCCCUACCGAACUCUCUCUGAGGAUCUUACACUUGCCUCACAGUCCUGUAUGACAAUUUCAGACAAAACCCAGAGCUCUCUUCACACAGAGAACAUGCAUCAUCAGUCAGGAAAAUGUACAACACACAUUGGCGGUGUUGAUCUCAAUCUUAACUCAACCAUCUUGCCUGAGGAACCACUUUUAGAAGCACAAGAAAACCAAUCAGUUAUUGACUCUGUAAGAUGCGAGAGCUCAGGUCAACUCACAAAUGGUAUGAGUGAAUGUAGCAUUACAAGAAUCACAAAUGUCCCUAACGAAUCAGGAAGUGCCGGUCAGGACAAUCCAAGAGAAUCUGAAGUUCAUGCAAAUGAGUGCCAUUUAACAGAAGGCAAGUCUCCGUAUUUGAAACCAAUAUCCGCUGAGGAGAAACCAAGCAAACCUCUUGUCUCAGAUAACACACAGUCUACUUCACACAUCAGAAGGUUCUCCCAUGAUUCCACUGGUGUUAUAAAGAAUAAGCUUAAGUCACAGGACUUUCAGGAAUUUCCUGAUAAAAUCUCAAAAUCAAGCUCAAAGGGUUCACCUGUUCACUCUACUGGUUCUGAACCACAACCAUACAAGAAACAAUCAUCUUUUGAAAGAACCAGAAGUUCUAGUUCUAGCUUAGAAAGGCGAAGACCUUGGGCAAGCCCUUCUCGCUCAGAGACCCCUCAAUCCAAUCAUAGUUCACCUCGGAAGCUGCCGCCUUCAUCACCAGCCAAACAUUUAAGCACAAGAGAAGCAAGUCAAGAACAGAGUGAAUCUUUUCAAAGGGGAACCACUGGAUUGAGGCAACCAAGUAAAAGUUUCCUCACUAGUAGUAGCAGUCUCCCCAAAACUGUCAUUCUUCAACAACCCUCUAGAGCGGAGUCUGAAUCUAAGAAGUCUUCUCCUCCUCAGAAGCCCAAAAACGUAAGACCAAAAAUCAUAACCUAUAUCCGCAAGAGCCCCCAAGUAAAACAAAUGUCUGAAGGUCCCUACGAAGUAUCGACACUUCCACCAAGACUUACGCCAUACGGUAGCUCAACAACCUCAAAAGAGCCCAAGACAGAGGGGUCCAGAGGUUCACCCGUGUUGAGCUCCUCUAAUAUUCUGUAUGAUAAAUACCGGCAGGAGGUACAGAGAUCAGGCUACUACUCCCCUCCAGGACUAAUGGCAUCUGGAAUCAGGCCACCCAGCCAUACUGUCCCCCAUAAACUUGUGGGCAAAUCUGAGAGUUUCCACGGGAAGCUGCCGGAUCAGUGCUUACAUGAGGUUGGUAGAGCAGUUCAGCUAAAUACCCAUGAUGCUGCUGCUGCUUUCCGCUUUCCUAGAGCAUUAAAGCCUCAGCUCGGACUUGGAGCCGUCACCAGACAGCCUGCUACUAAGAACAGGACUGUUGUGCCAGGUCAAAGGUCUGCAUCACCCCUCAGUUAUAUGGCUCCAGCUGUUCAGGCUUCAAGUAGUCACCAGGAACCCCCAGUGGACCAGAAGAGACUACCCUUGGGUAUGUCCCCCAAAUUUUUGCUCCCCAAAGCGGGUCAAUCUGGACUUCGUCCACCCGGCUUCUCCCAUCUGCCUCCUGCUCGACUGGCUGCCUUUGGCUUCGUCCGCAGUGCCAGUGUGUCAUCUGUGUCCAGCAAUCAAUCAAGCGACAGCGCACAUAGUGACCACUGCCGAACCAACCGUCCACACAGCAGCAGUGAUGAAACACUGCUGUCCCGCUCUCCUCUUCCUCCCACCGAGAGCAGUUUUAGCAGAACUCAGAGUCCACGCAGACCCCUGCACCCGCCCCCUCGCACAUCACCAGCGGGUAAGCCACGCCCUCUUACCGUCAGCACACACUCUGCAUACACUCUCAGAAAAAAAGGUACAAAUAAUGAUUAGGAGUACCUGAUUAUUAAACUACUCAAACAAACAUGUAUAUGUGUUAUUUUUCAGGCAUGUAGUAAUAGUAACAAUAGAUGUUAAUAAAUGCUGUAUUGACUCAAUUUCGUGUUGUUUUGUGUAAAUGAAUAGUUUGGAGAUAAAGUGUAAGCUUUUCUGGUGCAAUGUGCUUGGGGGAAUAAUAAUUCUGCAUGCGCUGUAUUAAUCUGCUCUCUGCACUGAAACGUCUCUUGAGCAGCAUAUCAUCAUGUUAGAGUGAUUUCUGAGGGAUCACAUGCUGAAUGUAACCUGACCAAUGAUGUGUCAGCAGCAGUCACAUGACCCUGUGUGGAGAGGUGUGUCAGUGAUGUCAUGAUGCUGUCUGUCACCAUGGUGCAGCAUUCAUGGUGUUCACACACACACUAGAAC